rnacentral:hammerhead_ribozyme from 1 species
AUACAGCUGACGAGUUCCAAAUAGGACGAAAUGCGCUUUGUCCUGGAU